AACAUAUCACUGUACGUGAUCUAUUGUCGCACUUUAAUUGUUUCAUGUGGCCAUAUUUCAAUUCCCUACUCUAUCAUCCGCUAUAGUGCAUUCGUUUGCAUCCAGCAACCAGGUAACUCUCUCCGAACAGUUAGCCCUAAUUCUGAAAUUAAGAACCAUUGGUUAAUAUAUGGAGGAAGACUGUGUAGUUCAUCGUAAUUCUGAAAUCAUUUCAAUCAACAAUGAACGAAAUUGUGAUAAUCCCUCUCAGUCUAUAUAUCCUCUAUUAGAUUUCGUAUUUCAAACUGUUAUUGAGCCUGCAAUAUGUGAACAAAAUUGCGCUUCCAUUGUUGCUUUGUUUAAUUUUUCAAAGGAACCAUGAGAUUUCUCUUACGAUCGACCCAUUUUAAAAAAAGGUUGAUGAUUCGGCGUUUGUGUAUGAUGAGUUAAACCCGAUGCGAAUAAAACUAAGGACUUGUAGAAAUGAUAAAAGCUUGGGAAUUGUUGCAUGAAUGGAUGAAGUUUGGGAAAGUUGAAGCUGCACUCUAUAAUGUGCUUUUAUCAGGGUUAGCGAAAGAGCCAGACUACAAGAAGAUAAAUUUGUUGCUAAAAGAGAUGAAGGAUAAACGUGUUAUACGAGCAUUAGCUUUUAUUCAAGGUUAUCCAUUAGUUGCUUCAGGCCUGAAAGUUAUCCUACUCAAGUGGACUGGUUCUGAGUUUAAUAGUGUUCCUUUUUUAGAGGUUAAACACUGGUGUGCUUAACACUUGCAUUCGAGUUAAGUUAACUUCUUUCAAUUUUGUUUAACCCUUGCAUUCAAACACUAAGCAGUUGCCGUUGUAGUCUGGAUGGCAGUUUCCAAGAUCGCGGUCCACGGCUGCAGCUCUGUUUGGCCAUUUGAGAUGAUAUCAGGUAAAUCUUAUAUGCAAGUAACAGAUGUCAACGAUGAACUUAGGCAGAAGACAUUGAUUGUAUUGGGAGACUCAAAAGAGAAACUCAAUUCCAACAGAUACCUUUUUUUUGUUCAUUUUUAUAGAGGCCCGAUGAAUUCCAAAUCGUGGAACAAAACUGUUACUGAUAGUUUGGGUUUGGCUCAGUUUCAAUUUUCAAUGGUUCAGUUUUGGUUUCGAUAAAAAGAAACCGUUACUAACGGUUUGGCUUAUGGUUUAAACUAAAAACCGUCAAAAUUGGACCGUGAACACCACUAUUUGCUAUCAAUUCACUUGCCACCAAAGAUCAACUGGAUUUCCAGCUUACUCCAAAGGGCCAGCAUAUGUUGUUUAAGCCCUUCACCCCAAGUUCGAAUUCCUCCCAGAGUUGCGACAUAUCUGGAUUCUGGAGCCAGUGCUGUUCUUGUAGAACAAGCUGAUCUGAUUCAGAUAGGUAUGGGUUUGUGCUCUGUAUUGUGUUUCUUUCGAUGGCAGCAUGGAUGACACUACUAAUCUUCAAUUCUGUGGUUAUUGUGGUGCCUGUGUUACCUGGAUGAGUGCUUUUUAACUAAGUUUCUCUUUUUCGAAUAACACAUGGCAUAAAAUGCAAUGGUAAGAAGUUUAAAUGGACGACCUGUUUGUGAAUCUUAUGCAAUGCUCUAACUGGAAUUACCAUUUUGGUAGACAUGUAUGCAUUCAUUAUUAGAAGUUAUGUCAUCUUGACUGUACUCGCUGGUGUAAGAUAUCCACUUGGUAAAAUUUAAACAAGGAGAGCUACAUUCUUAUUAGGUCAAAUAUUGAAAUGGUGUUCCAUUGUUGUGAAAAGUUCUGUAUUGUUCUCUAUUUGGGUAAGGCCACAUUUUCAGUUAGAGAUUGUUCAGGAGUUUCGUAUGCAAUUUAUUUCAUAUGUAGCGUUUCUACAGCCUUUCAUCAUCGUGCAGGUAUGCUCCAUAUGUCUUAUUUUUAUGUUAAAAUUAGGGGAUCAAACGAGCCGAGCUACUUGAGUACGACUCAAAAAAAAGCUCGAACGAGCUGAGCUUAAACGAGCUCAAGUUUGAGACCGAUCUUAAAACAAGCUCGUUUAGUAAACGAGCCCAAGCCCGAGCUUCGUUCAUUGAGCUCGAUCUGGCUUGUGAGCCUAAACAAGCCCAUUGUUUAUUUAUUUUUCUGUAAUGUAUUACAUAUAUAUUUAAAUAAUAAUAGUCAUUAUUUGUUAUAUUAUGUAAAAUAAGUAAAUUUUAUAUAAACUAAGGACUAUAACUAAUAAGAAAUAAUUAAUUAAUAAAAAAUGAGUUGAGCCUGAGCCAAGCUUAAGCUUCAAAAAUUACUUACGAGCCUGAGCUCGAGCUCAGGCUCGGCUUAUUUGCACCCCUAGUUAAAUUGUCAUCAUAUCCGGCUUGAAAAUAGCAAUCAAUCUUGUUAAGUUUCAGAAGCUAGCUUAGCAUCAGUUUUGGAACUAAUGGAAAUUUGGCAAGGCACAUGGUUCUGAAGCUACUGUAAUAGCGGAGUUUUUUUGAAGGAUAACACAAUAUGUUCAUGUUGAGUGAUGGUUUGCUCUUGCUCUUGCGAAUCUGGAAAACAUCCAUAAUUAAUGGCAUUUAUUUCUAGAUGGGUUGUGCGAAUGGCGCUGGUGUAAUUUUAAGUGAAUAUGAUGAAGAAGUUGCUAAUGACGCACCUGGAAAGCAUUCACAGUUGUAGCAGGUAGGUUUGGUGCUCUUGCAAGUGUUGCUAGUUGCUAGAAGUGAUGAAUGUUCUCUUGCAGUUGCUGCUUCAUUUGUAGAUAGUUUUUUUUAUUAAAAGUUUGUGUCUUUAUUAUUUACAUUGAAAAUUAUAUAUGGAUUUUGGUUUAUUAUUCUUAA